GGGUGGCUCUCUCUCUCUCGCGCGCACACACACAGCCCCGCGCGCCUGUCUUAAAGGGCCCGCGCUCGCUCGCUGCACGCCCAGGCGCGUCCCCGCGGAGCGAGCUGGAGCCCGGCUGGGGGGGAGCCUGGGCACCGCUACAUGCCCCACCGCAGAGCCGCCAGGCGCCCCGGGGGCACAGCCCGUCUCUGCCCCAGCGCCUGUGCGGGGCCCGCGCUGGGCUCGGGGAGGUCUCCCCGGGGGGUUUCCACAGCGAGAUUUUAAUGUUAUUUGUGGACUAACCAGGCACCAGUUGCUGAAAUGUUAAAUUUCAGCCUCUCCCCGAGCCGGCCCUGGCGCUACCCAGCUCGCUGGGGCGUGUGGCUGCCCGGGGACCCGCUCCUGGAGCCAAUGGGAGACGCCCCUGACUUACACCGGGGAAGCAGGAUCGGGCCCAGCCCAGACGUUUUGCUGUGGGGAUUGAUUUUUAUUUUUUAUUUCUUUAGCUUUGACCGAGCCCGUGCGUCGUCGGUUCUCUGCCAGCGCGCCCAGGGCCGAGGCAACGUGCAAACCUCGAGGGAGCGUGGCAGUGGGUUGAGCAUAUCCUUGAAGGGGACAUCUCAGCCUCCACGUCCCCUCUGCCCAGCCCCGGUGUCCAGUCCUGGCUGGGUCCUGGGCAGGGGCAUUCUCGUUUGCAAGUCUUGCAAACACCCGCCUCCCCCUCCCCGAUCUCGUUAGGAACAUAGACGUGACGUCGGAUUUCAGAAAAUUAUUAGUUUUCCUAACUUGCCCGGAGGGUCCGGAAACCUGAAAUUAAACAUCUUCGCAGCCAAUUUCCAAAGACACUAGACACGUCUGUUCUGGCGUCAGUUUGGAGAGAAGAGGGAAAAAAAAAAAACAACCCCACAGUUCCCAUGGAAAGGAAACUCCCCAUCUCGGCUGAUCACAUACAACAGAUGAUCCUCUUGUUUUGCAUCUGAAAAAAAAUCGUCAGAUUUACAGCCCUCCCAAAUGGAGAUAAAACCUUGGCAAUGAGUUGGAAACCUGUUGUAAUCUGUGAUCCGGGAAACAAAGAGCCUCAUUAAUGCAGAGAUUUUGGUGAGCCUUUGAUGUUAGCUAGCAUAGCAUUCACUCUCAGUUCCAUUUGCAUUUAAACAUUCAUAAAAACAUCAUCUCUGCUUCCUUUGCCUUAAGCAAUUUAGGAGUAAAGUAUAGCUUCUAUUUAAAGAAACCCACUGUGGUGAGGCUUAGAAUACAAAUAUCACAUAAUCUUCAAGCAGAGCAAAUAUUUUAUCCUAUAUCUCUGGUAGGCACAUAAUAUUAUAUUUAAGACCCAAAAUAAAAGAUCUAUCUUAUUUUCAUUAACCUUGACCCACACAUACAACAACAAAAAGGGGGAGGGGGGGAGAGGAAGAGAAAAGCCUUUUUAAUCCUAAAUACACCAGUUAGUAAUUAUGGAAGUUUAAAAAAAUACCCAAGAUUUAUAUUAUUCACAAGAGCCAAUUUUUAAAAAAAAAAUUGGGUGCCUAAAGCUAGGUUACUAUAUCCAUAUUUAGGCAUCCAAUUCUGAAAGCAUUGGCCAGGAUUUUUUUCUUUUAUUUGUAUAGAUUUCAAGUUGCUGAACCUUCACUCUGUUAUUAAAAUGGGGUCUAAGGAAAGAGACUUUUAUUUUUACAGUCAAAUGUGAAAAUUAAAAUUAACACCUAAGCAUGACAAUAAUAACAAAAUAACCAAAGGAGUCCACAAAUCAAAAUAAAAUUAAUACAUCCAGAGUUUUUCUUCUAAAGCAAUUCACUGCAGUUUGCAGAGUAUAUUCUGGCUAUUUGUAGAAAGGAAGCAUGUGGUAAAGUUGGAAAGUCCUUUAGAAAACAAAGGCCUAUCCACUUUGCUAUCUUCAGAACUAUAGGUUCAAACAAUUAAAUCUAAGAGAAGGGGAACAGUGCUAGAAAUAUUUCAAGAUUCUGAGUCAGGUUGUACAAAUCUAGGACACACCAUUAAAAACAAUCAGAUAAUGCAGAAUCUCAUCAGAUGGCAUAUUGCAGAUUAUGUUUUUCAGUCUUAAUAGCAAACAUAGGAAUAUUUUCAUGUUAAAGGCUAUGAGUCAGUUUAGUCAACUUGUUUUUUAAGCACUAUAGGCAAGUUUCCCAUAUGAUAAAUGUCUAAAAUUUAAAAUUGAAAUGGAAAAUGGUUAAACACAAUUUUACCUUGGGUAUGUUUUUGGAGCUGGAUCAAAGUAAAGUGAAAAGCUUGGCUCACUUGUCAGAUCAUAUCUGCACUGAACCUCAAGGUUUGAUUUGUAUUAUUUACAUGGAAAAGGUCCCAAAAGACCAAUUUGGCACUAAGUAUCAUCAUUACGUUGUUUCGCUUGUAUGGGUGAUUAAAUCAAUAAAGCUUUUCCAUUUUAA